GGAAACCAGAAUAGACAUCUGUGUAAGGAUGUUCUCUGAAGCACUGUCUAACACUAUUUUACAGGAGCAAAAGCUUGGAGUGAAAUAAUAACAGCGUGGUGAGGAGGCUGCUGGUCAGAUACUCUGCUGUAUAUGGAAACUAUGGGAUUCUGUUCUGCCAGUUAAAGAUGAUGCCACAGAAAUCUUCGAAUGUUGUAGAAAGAUGGAUGUGAUCAGUAUCCUUGCAGCCUGCAUCCAUCAACACAAGACUGCAGUCUUUGGCUGCCGAGGCUGAAGCCGAGUCAGAGCUCUCACCUCUUCUGGAACUGACCCUGACAAUGGCAGAUGAUAUGGAAAUGAAUAGGAUAAUACUCUACUGACCUGACAGGGCUCACAUUGAGCCUUAACUGAGAUAAUUCAUGAACAGUGCAAAAUCAAGCUCGG
rnacentral:lncRNA from 1 species